GGGCGAUUAGCUCAGUUGGUAGAGCAGCUGACUCUUAAUCAGCGGGUCCAAGGUUCGAGUCCUUGAUCGCCCA
rnacentral:tRNA from 1 species